GAUAAACAGGUGUCAGUUUCCCGUGGGAAUCUUUUGAUCGCGCACCUGAGAGUUGGACACAGGAGAGCACAGGUGCGCGGAACAUCCACCCACCGACUUCUACAAAUAACAACAUGAGUUCAGAUCGCCUGCAGACACAACCGCCUCAAAUAAAGGUCCGUUAUUAUUGUUAAACCGUUAGAGUGGCGUCGGGGCGAUUAACACACCCUGCCAGACAGCAGACAAAUUAAAAUCUCGUCACCUCGGAGGCCACCGCCGGCACGGUCACCGCCUUCUCACCGGCAGGAGAACACAAAGAGCCUACAGGCUGCAGACACUGCGUUCAAUGUGACGCUGAAUGUGAAGACGCAUGGUGUGGAGCCAUACAUGACAGCCUAAUUCACAGUGAUAGAAAAUGCAGUGAGAAAUGCUACAAAGAAAAACACAUUAAAGGAUAUUCCAUUUGUAACCGCCGAGGAGAUGGUGCAGCAUGUCACAAAAUAACAACAACAAGCUUCUAGCUCGGAAACAGCUGCCUUAAAUAAUGCAAUUCCAACAGAACUUACUUUGAAAAGACAAACACAUGAAGGGACGGAUAAAAACGAAAGCACGUCCGUUGAUGCUUCUUAAUGUUAACACUAUUUUUAGCCAUUCUUGCAGUGUUGAUGUCUGUGUGUGUCUGGGUGUGUGUAACACUUUGGUCUAGACUAAUUUAUUGCAAAGACUAUCGUAUGUGUUGCAAUGAAAUACAGUCUAACUCGUGUACCAAGAUGAUGAAUCCUCAUGACUUACACAAAAGGUAAUCCUCUGACUCUGAAUCCAAAGCAACUAUCAUGUGGAAAUGUAUUUUUUCAACCUAAUUAGCCCGAUUUAAUUAACGUCUAAAUACCAGAGAGUUAUUCCUUUCAGCCUUGUCUGUACUUUGGUGCUUAUCGGCAAAUGUUAGCACGUAAACGCACCAAACAAAGAUGGCGAGUUUGGUUAAAAACACUUGCUAAAAACCAUUAUGUUAGCAUUGCCUUUGUGAGAUUUGUUUGCAUGUUAAAUGUAUAAAAAACCCUCUAAAGAAUAAUGUAUCUUUACUGCAUCACAGAGCUGCUAUGGCUGAAAUGGGUUUUUCCAGUACUUAAAUGAAGGCUGUAAUUUAAAAAUGUAAAUAAUUGUUUAGCUUUUUUAAAAAUGUUUUUUGAGUGUAUUCACAAUUCCUCGACUAUAUUUUGUCGAUGUUCCUGUUUUAUUAAAUUGUACAAAUAAACUUCAAAGUAUUAACACGUUG